CCUACGGGAGGCAGCAGUGAGGAAUAUUGGUCAAUGGGCGCAAGCCUGAACCAGCCAAGUCGCGUGAGGGAUGACGGUCCUAUGGAUUGUAAACCUCUUUUGUCGGGGAGCAAGGCCCGCCACGUGUGGCGGGAAGGAGAGUACCCGAAGAAAAAGCAUCGGCUAACUCCGUGCCAGCAGCAGCGGUAAUACGGAGGAUGCGAGCGUUAUCCGGAUUUAUUGGGUUUAAAGGGUGAGUAGGCGGAAGGUUAAGUCAGCGGUAAAAUGUCGGUGCUCAACACCGGCCUGCCGUUGAAACUGGUCUUCUUGAGUGAGCGAGAAGUAUGCGGAAUGCGUGGUGUAGCGGUGAAAUGCAUAGAUAUCACGCAGAACUCCGAUUGCGAAGGCAGCAUACCGGCGCUCAACUGACGCUGAGGCACGAAAGCGUGGGGAUCGAACAGGAUUAGAUACCCCUGUAGUC
rnacentral:rRNA from 1 species